ACAGCUCCUCCUGUUUUGGUGGAGCAGUAGAAGAAAAGCGGUUUAUACACGGAAGCAAAACCACGACGUAAAUCUUACAACCUGUCCACUCUCGUUUGUCUCUUCGAAUUGAGUUGAGAGGACUGGACAGAUUAGAUUAUACAGAUUUGGUUUACAUUUCACCGGGUGGUGGACGCAGCGGACACAAUGCGGACGGCUUUGUUGUCGCUUUCUAUUUUGAUACUCUGCUUAUUGGUCGCAGGGGCUCCAAAUGUCAAGAGAGAGGCAACAGGAAAUGCUGUUCCAGAGGGUACUUUGGGCAGUCAAGACCCAAAUACUGCAGGGAAGCAGGGAAAUGGAGUAACACUUGAUGGAUCGGAUAAAAUAGAUCCAGCUACAGCGAAGAAGGGAGAGGAUGGAUCGGAUAAAAUAGAUCCAGCUGCAGCGAAGAAGGGAGAGGAUGGAUCGGAUAAAA